rnacentral:rRNA from 1 species
UAGGUUUUUGGCCUUGGGCGAAAGCCUGAUCCCCAAUGCCGUGUGUGUGAAGAAGGCCUUCGGGUUGUAAAGCACUUUUGUCCGGAAAGAAAUCCUUUGGGUUAAUACCUCGGGGGAUGACGGUACCGGAAGAAUAAGCACCGGCUAACUACGUGCCAGCAGCCGCGGUAAUACGUAGGGUGCAAGCGUUAAUCGGAAUUACUGGGCGUAAAGCGUGCGCAGGCGGUUUUGUAAGACGGAUGUGAAAUCCCCGGGCUUAACCUGGGAACUGCAUUCGUGACUGCAAGGCUAGAGUAUGGCAGAGGGGGGUAGAAUUCCACGUGUAGCAGUGAAAUGCGUAGAGAUGUGGAGGAAUACCGAUGGCGAAGGCAGCCCCCUGGGCCAAUACUGACGCUCAUGCACGAAAGCGU